CGGGUGGUAAUGCCGGAUGCUCCGACAUGACGCAUGUCGUGUCGGGAAAGAUUCAUCGGUAUGGGAUGGGGUCGCGUCCUAUCAGCUUGAUGGCGGGGUAACGGCCCACCAUGGCUUCGACGGGUAGCCGGCCUGAGAGGGCGACCGGCCACAUUGGGACUGAGAUACGGCCCAGACUCCUACGGGAGGCAGCAGUGGGGAAUAUUGCACAAUGGGCGCAAGCCUGAUGCAGCGACGCCGCGUGCGGGAUGACGGCCUUCGGGUUGUAAACCGCUUUUGACUGGGAGCAAGCCCUUCGGGGUGAGUGUACCUUUCGAAUAAGCACCGGCUAACUACGUGCCAGCAGCCGCGGUAAUACGUAGGGUGCAAGCGUUAUCCGGAAUUAUUGGGCGUAAAGGGCUCGUAGGCGGUUCGUCGCGUCCGGUGUGAAAGUCCAUCGCUUAACGGUGGAUCCGCGCCGGGUACGGGCGGGCUUGAGUGCGGUAGGGGAGACUGGAAUUCCCGGUGUAACGGUGGAAUGUGUAGAUA
rnacentral:rRNA from 1 species